CCCAGUUUGGCCGAUUUUGGCGAUCAGUUUGGCCGAUUACGUCAAAUACGACCUGGCAACGCUGGUCACACGAGUCGUUCGUCUUGUGUCAGUCUUGUGUGGAGUUAAAUUUGUGCCGCAGCCUGCAGUGAGCAAUAUUUAUAAUUCAUUAUGUUAUCAUCUACGUAAACGUUAAAGGUUGAAAAUCUUUUUCUGGCGAUUUAUGAUCAUGAUAUCAAGAGUUAUUCCUUCCAUCUAAUGAAACGAUGACGACUCGAAUCAAAUUUAAUUUACGCAUCCUAACAAAGACAAUUUUUCAUCUGAAAUUUACUAAGAACAUUGACCAUUGUUGGUAUGACUCGACCCUAUAACUAGUUUGAAAAUUGCUUUAUUAUUCGUGAUAAGCAUUUAAACAUAGUUAUUGUACAACCAUAAAAUACAACAAACAUAAACAAGAUAUUCAAGUUAGAUUUCAAACAUUGUAUAAGGAAAUGAAUAUAAGUGAAGCAGAACAUUAAAUCACUGUGUUUAAAGAGA